AAAACAUUCAAGCCUGAUGGCUUUAGUGAGUUUGGGCUUGACCCAUAAUUAGAAGUUAAAAACACAUAUCAAUGGAACUAAUCCAGCCCAGUAAGAACAGAGAGCAAGCCCUAAUGAAACAUAAAGUUGAUCGGUCUUGAGCAAAGUGAAGCGACUUAGUUUCCUCCGCCACAAGUUAAGCGUGGAGUAACCAGAGUUGCAUCAUUGCAGAGGAGGCUCUAGGAUUUCUCUGUCGGAUAGACUGAAGUCGAUUGCGAAGCUGCUUAUCAAUAGAAGAGAUCAGUGUUUGCGGGGGCUUGAAGAGUUGUCUGUGGAGACGGCUAUUUCGUUCGUUCCAAAUCCAGUAGAUGGAAGCUUGAGUUGCAAGAAGGAGGAGUCGCUGAGAGUCUCUGCCGCGGCGUGACUGCUGGAGUUGAGUGAUGAUAUCGUUCCAAGAGUAAGCUAUUUGAAAAUCACAUCUUCCUGCAAUGAAUCGAAGGAUCUCAGCACUAAAAGGGCAUUCAAAGUACAGAUGAUUUCGGCUUUCAGGAUUAGCAUUGCACAACAAACAACCAGCAUCUACAAUCAACCCCCAACUGAGCAAGCGAUCCUUUGUAGGACAUCGAUCAAGGAGAACCAGCCAGGUUAGGAAGCUGUGUCUAGGGAUGCCGUAAGAGAACCAGACGAUCUUAGCCCAUGGAACGACAGGUUUGGGACCUCUUAGGUAGAUUUGCAGAGCCAACUGGUUAUCCGUUCUGGCCGAAGGAAGGAGCCAGCGGCCAUUCCUGUAAAGUGAAGCUACUGAAGCUGUCUUCGGGAUACCAAGUCUAGAGCUAGCCGCAUUCAAGAACGUGUAGAGUUGUCCAAAGGGUGCCCAGUUAUCAUACCAAAAGUGGGUGUCCUCGCCAUUGCCAAUUUUCUUUUUGAGCAGCGGACCCAAACCGAGUUUGGCCGGAAGAACAACAGCCAGACUAGCUUCAAAAUGCAAGACAGGUUCCACGAGUGGAGGUCCUUUAUUCCUAAGCCACCCUGAUCUUUGAAAGAGACCACAUAGGGAGUUUAUCCUGGUGAUACAUGACUUAGGGAGAAUGAAGCUUGAACACCAGAAGGUUGAGCUUCUUCGUUGUAAAAGGGACACCCAGAUAGCGCAUUGGGAGAGUACCACAAGGCAUUCCUGUUGAAGCUUGAAUGGUAGAGAUCUCCUGCUCUGAGAGGCCCGAAGCAAAAAAGCUAGAUUUCUGCAGACUGACCGCAAGAUCCGAACGUUUCUCAAAGUCGCUUAGAAUCUGGAGAACUCGUUGCACAGAUUCAAUUAAAGUUUUUUUGAAGAAAAAAAGUUAUAAUAUCUGGGGGAAGAAAACUUGUCCU